rnacentral:rRNA from 1 species
CGCGUAGGCGGUGCCACAAGUCACUUGUGAAAUCCCCGGGCUUAACUCGGGGCCUGCAGGCGAAACUGUGGUGCUGGAGUAUGGGAGAGGUGCGUGGAAUUCCCGGUGUAGCGGUGAAAUGCGUAGGUAUCGGGAGGAACACCUGUGGCGAAAGCGGCGCACUGGACCAUAACUGACGCUGAGGCGCGAAAGCUAGGGGAGCAAACAGGAUUAGAUACCCUGGUAGUCCUAGCCCUAAACGAUGAUUGCUUGGUGUAGCAGGUACCCAAUCCUGCUGUGCCGCAGCUAACGCGAUAAGCAAUCCGCCUGGGGAGUACGGUCGCAAGGCUGAA